rnacentral:piRNA from 1 species
UGCCAUCUGCGUGAAGCUGCUGUGGACUG